rnacentral:lncRNA from 1 species
GAGGGGUCCCUGCGCGAGGCCUGCGACUCCGGCAUGUACACCAUGGUCACCAUGUCUUUCCUCGACGUCUUUGGCGCCAAAGGAAAGUACCACCUCGACCUCUCCGGCCACGACCUCUCCGCCGUCGGCGCCGACAUCAAGCACUGCCAGUCCAAGGGCGUCCCCGUCUCCCUCUCCGUUGGCGGCUACGGCACCGGCUACUCGCUCCCGUCCAACCGCUCCGCGCUCGACCUCUUCGACCACCUCUGGAACUCCUACUUGGGCGGGUCCAACCCUGGCGUGCCCCGCCCCUUUGGCGACGCGUGGCUCGACGGCAUCGACCUCUUCCUGGAGCACGGCACGCCGGCGGACCGCUACGACGUGCUGGCGCUGGAGCUGGCGAAGCACAACAUCCGCGGCGGCCCGGGGAAGCCGCUGCACCUGACGGCGACGGUCCGGUGCGGGUACCCGCCGGCGGCGCACGUGGGGCGGGCGCUGGCGACGGGGAUCUUGGAGCGCGUGCACGUGAGGAUCUACGAGGAGAGCGACAAGGCGUGCAACCAGUACGGGGCGUGGGAGGAGGCGUGGGACAGGUGGACGGCGGCGUACCCGGCCACCCGGUUCUUCAUCGGGCUCACCGCCGACGAGAAGUCGUACCAGUGGAUACACCCCAAGAACGUCUACUACGGCAUCACGCCGGUGGUGCAGAAGAAGGACAACUACGGCGGGGUCAUGCUCUGGGACCGAUACUUCGACAAGCAGAGCGACUACAGUAGCUACAUCAAGUACUACGCCUGAUCGGAGUUAUACUUUCACAAGCCACGCUGUUGCAUGCAUCACCGUCGAUUUGAUUUCGAUGUGUUGUUGCAAACUUGCAAGCGAGAAUAAAGUGAGGCUUGUACUACUUGGGUAAAUAAAUAAUUGACCAGCUGGUCGUACGUA